GACGUAGGAGGCAAGCGUUAUCCGGAUUUAUUGGGCGUAAAGGGCAAGUAGGCGGUUCUCAAAGUUGGGCGUGACAUCUCCCGGCUCAACCGGGAGGGUGCGUUCAAAACUAGAGGACUAGAGGGCAGGAGAGGGAAGUGGAAUUCCAUGUGUAGCGGUGAAAUGCGUAGAGAUAUGGAGGAACACCAGUAGCGAAGGCGGCUCUCUGGACUGUAACUGACGCUGAGGCACGAAAGCGUGGGGAGCAAACAGGAUUAGAUACCCGGGUAGUCCCUGA
rnacentral:rRNA from 1 species